UCCUUUACAUUAUUAAUAUUACGUUCAUUAAUUCGAUAAAUGUGUAUAUGUUAUUGUACAACUUCCUAAAUUAGUGAAAAACUGAUUAAAAAUACAACUUCAUUUUUUUUAAUAGUAGGUUGCCGUCUUGUGAGUCUGACAUCUGUCACUGUCAGAACAGUUAAUAAUUAUUAAAAAUGUAGUAAGUCAUAACCACAAAACCAAAACCAUUAAUCGCGAUAUCACCAAAUCUCUUAGUAUUUAUGAUAAUCCUAAAAGAGCAUAAUUGUUGGAAGAACAGGAAGUUGUACGUUCAUUUUAAAUUAUAAGUAUCAGAUGAAACCACUUAAAAUUUUUUUAUGUAUGAUUGUAUGGUCCGAAGUUCAUUUCAAUGCACGAAACUGAGAAGGGUAGAAAACCGUGGUCGAAGAAACUGAAAAAAGAGCGUUAUGAAGCCAGAGACCCUUCUAUUAUCGGUACCGGCCACGUCUUCACAUUUCUCCUGUUAAUUUCAACAUUUGUAAUUUAUGAUGUGAUUGUGAUAACUAACCUACAGGACGAAACAAGUACUGAUUUCCAGGCACUUAAGUCUGAGUUGGAGAUGAGUGUUCAUUGUCAACCUGAACCAGUAGCUGUUAUUCUUGAGAACUUAAAUAAAAUCCAGAAGAAUGAACAAACUAUUGGCAUUGUUAACUUUAUCGGAAGUACAGGUGUUGGAAAAACAUUUAUUGCAAAUAUUAUCAAAAGACACUUUUCACUGUUUUAUGAAUCCACUGGCUCUCUUAAAACGAAACUUCAGCAUGACAUUUGGAGUACAAUUAGAGGGAGUCUUGCUAGGUACAAUUUAGUAGUUUUUGAUGAUUUGACAGUGGAUGAUGUUGAUGAUUUACUGGUUUUAAUUAAAGGAAUGCCUCAAGACGUUGCCACACUUGUUAUUUGUAUUUUUAAUAUUCAAGAGACUGAUAGUUUUUUAAAUUAUAACGUUAAUUAUGAUAAUAUUGAUCUAAUUGAAAGUAAAUUUAAUUCAGCUGAAAUUAAGCAUGAUGUGGCUAAAUUCCAUGAGUUCAGUGCAGGUGAAGUUCAUGAUUGGAUUGUUAAUCAGUUGAUAACAAAAGGAGUCGAUGCACAGUACCACACAAGAAUUAUAGAAUCUGUAUUUGGGGGCCACAAUGUGAAAUACCAUGGUUUGAAAGGUUUAAAUUCAAAAAUAAAUUUGGAACUGUGAUAAAUAACGAAUUUAAAUAAAUUAAUGAAGUUGUA